CAAGUUACUGCAGUUGUUCGUCACUUUGUUUUAUUAUGUUUUUUUUUAACUGUCACUUAUCAAGUGGACACUGUUUAUUAAGAUAACGAUGACGUGAUGUUAAUAAUAAUAAUACGAUAAUACGUCAAUUCAGCGGAUAAUUCAACGUCUAAAACACAAGGAAUGGACUUUUACAAGAAAAUGACUUCCGGUGCCAAGACGCCAUUUUCAAGUAAAGCUGGUUUGGACGUUUGGUCCUGACGGUGGACGUCCUGCUGAGAUCCUGCUUGAAUGUGAAGAAAUUAAAUGUUGGGAGGAUGGCAGUAUCAGAUCCCAGGAGUCACCGGAGUACUUAGGUGGAGACUGAGUGAUUGACAGCCAGACAGAAGAGUCAGAGCGCGGGAAACGGACCAUUUGUCAAGACCAAAACCAAAUCCAGAGGCAGCAUCUGUUCAGAUGUCAGUGUAAGAAAAGGAAGUGAGCACCACCCUGUGGUGGAGCGGCUGUAUUGCUCUGUAGUUGUCCUGCAGCAUCUUCCCGUCAUCAUCUUCAGC